UGUCACAGUCUUGGCUCACUCCAACCCCUGCCUCCCAGUUUCAAGCGAUUCUCUUGCCUCAGCCUCCCAAGUAGCUGGGAUUACAGGUACACACCACCAUGCCCGGCUAAUUUUUUUGUAUGAGAACACUUUUUUGUACUAUUUUGGAAAGAACCACUAGAUGUACUAUUAAAAGAAAAAUGCAUAUACACCUACUAUGUACCCACAACACUUAAAAUUUAAAAUUAAAAAAAAGAAAAAUGCAAAGUUCCAAACAGUAUGUAUAAUAUGCUAUCUGCUAAUUAAAAUGCUAAAAGAAGAAGAAACAGUGGACAGCAAGAAUACACACAUUCAUGUUUGCUUAUAUAUGGGUAAAGAAACUCAGGAAAGUUACAGGAGGAGCUAAUAACAGUGGUUAAUUACAAUGGUAGAGGAGAGGCUUGGCAGAUAAGGGACUCGUUUGCAGAUAUGACUUUCCUUUGUGUACAUUUCUAUAUAUUAUUUUACUUCUUCUGAAAAUGCCACAUAAUUUGCAAUAAAUGAUUCACUCCUUAGCUCCAAAAGCAAGUCCUUUAUCAAAAUGCAAAUGUUCCAGAGGGAUGUAGCCAGAUUCUGUGGACCGCCGUCUUUUUCACCCUUAAGAAUCCGUCGCUAUGAUUUCUCUUCCUCUGCUUGGAGACCUUUAGAGAGCCAGCCUGCAGCUGCUCAGAGCAUUGACUACUAAACAGCUCACAGUUGCUAUUGCUGAAAAUGCCCGGUGGUUAUGCCUUGCCUGACCAGGGGUAGCCCACAGCUGAUGACAGGCCCCCUUGCCUCAAGGUGGGACAACUUCGGUGGUGCCAUUCAUAUCCAGAGCUGCCUGGAAUCAGGCCGAGGCUGGACAUCAGCCGACCCCGCAUCUUUGCUGAGUUUAUUCCUCUGCUGUACUUCCCUCGCUUCCCUCACCUCCUUCUUGGUUUCUCCUGAGAGCCUCCCUCAAUAAAUCACUUACCCCAGAAUCCUUGUCUCAGACUCCGCUUCUAGGACCCAACUUAAGACAUUCACAAAAUAAAUCACAUUGAUGGAAAACAGAUCCCAUUCUCCAAAAUGAAUAACCAGUAGGCACUUGUGACUAGCACAAGCAUCAGCAUAUCCACAUGGUGCUAAACUAACACCAACCCAAAGCAGAUAGUGCUGGGUGGACUCGGUACAAGUUAAUAGCUCAUGGGUCUCCAUCCCCAACACCUUCAGACCCAAGGCUCCAGGGCUGCCAGCCUGAGAACCCUAAGUCAUGAUUUUGGGCACUUUGGCUGGAUUUCCUAGCAACUGGCUGAGAGCAGGACAGGUAAACAGAGUUGGGAGGAGGAAGCAAAAAAGGCUAGAGUGGACAUCAGUUGACUUUGCCUGCCAUGGUAGAGACUUUCAGUCAUCCACCAUAAUCCAUCCCCAUUCUGCUGCACAGAAGUAUUGUGGCUGAGACACCUGCUUUUCUCCACCCCUCUAGUUAAUGUGACUAAAUUCUCCCUAUGGAAUGGGAAUGGAAGGGCCAUACCCAGGCCAGUGUCUUCAGGUAGGGGCUGUGACCCUUCCACACCUGUACCAGACACAAUCAUCAUCUCACUGGGUUUUGCCAGCUUUCAGGUCUAUGUGCUGAAAGCUGCUUACAGCUAACCUCUGCAGAUUUUCCUGGCACAGGAGGCAUGCUUGGCCAGUGCACAGGGCAAGUUGGAAGGGCCCUAAUGUCAGCAGCCUUCAACCAAUGAUGGAUGGAAAGUUGCAGACAGUGUCCUAUGCAUCUGCAGUGGGAUAACUCUGAGACGUGUGCUGUACUGCCUCCUAGAGGGCCCAGGGUGAUUAAGCACCAGUUACCCACAGCAGUAACUUCCUUGAUUCUGUUCCCCACAUGGGCACUUUUCUUCCUGUCACACCUCCCCAAUCCCCUGCAGAUACUUUCUGGGAUUGCUUCCUAAACAAUCCACUUGAACUUUUUUUUUUUUUCUUUUUUUUGACAUGGAGUAUUGCUCUUGUUGCCCAGGUUGGAGUGCAAUGGCACGAUCUUGGCUCACUGCAACUUCCGCUUCCUGGGUUCAAGCAAUUCUCCUGCCUCAGCCUCCUGAGUAGCUGGGAUUACAGGCGCCUGCCAUCACGCCUGGCUAAUUUUUGUAUUUUCAGUAGAGACGGGGUUUCGCCAUGUUGGCCACGCUGGUCUCAAACUCCUGACCUCGUGAUCUGCCCGCCUCGGCCUCCCAAAGUGCUGGGAUUACCGGCGUGAGCCACCGUGCCCAGCCCCACUUGAACUUUAAUCCUUGCCUCGGAAUUGGCUUCUGGGGAAACCAAAAAUAUAUUAAAAAAAGAGAGACCAGGACCUUAAAAAGAGCCCAAGUUGUUGAGCUCCCUGCCAAGUCACCCCCAGGUAUCUCUGCCCACCAGCUUGCAUGAGCCAGAUCCUCAGUGCAGGUUUUUCCAAUCAGUCAUUUGUUCUUCCACCCAACGCUCAAGAUUUGCUUCUUCAAGACAACUCUCUGAUCAGCUGAGACCCAUAGACACCCAGCUUCUACCACACAUAUGAUGGCAUUAUCCUAGGGCAUGGCAGAGCAACGCAAGGGAAAACUCUGGGCCCCCAAGUGAUGUCAUGGAGGAGAACUCUCAACCCAGAACUACUACGUGAGAAACAACGCUCUCUCUUCUUUAAGCCAUAGGUGUGUUGGGAAUCUUUGUUACAGCAGCACGCCUGAUCUUUUGUUUUGUUUUGUUUUGUUUUAGAGAUGGAGUCUUGCUCUUUCGCCAGGCUGGAGUGCAGUGGUGCGAUCUUGGCUCACCAUGUUGGUCAGGCUGGUUUCAAAUCCCUGACCUCAAGUGAUCCUCCCACCUUGGCCUCCCAAAGUGCUGGGAUUACAGGUGUGAGCCACCGCACCCGGCCCAGCCAUGCCUUGUCUUAACUAGCAUAGCCGCCCAACGUCCACUUCUUUUGGCCAUGUUGUCCUGAUUCUGCUGGAGAAUCCCUUUCCCACUGCUCCCAGACCAGUGGUGUAGCUGACCUGCGCUCUCUCCACUCAAUUCAGGGGAGGGAGGGGUUUAGGCCUGGGCUAAGAGAGCUGCACAUUUCCCAGGGCACAGUGAUUAGUUGAGGGUGGGUCCCAGAGCCAAAUCUGCCCAAGAUCUUAGCCUGAAAGAGAAACCCUCCUGCUGAGUGACUGCACUGUGAGGCAGAAGUCCAGAGCUGUGGGUGGCCAUCCAGCCUCCAUUUGCGCCUGCCUGAGAAAGAAGCCACCAUGGGGGAAAUCGAGCUAAAAGACGGAGAGGGAGGUAAGAGAGGAUGACAUCACAUAAGCACCAGAUCUGGCCACCCCUGAAACUGGAACAACCCUAAGCUUUACAGCUACUACAUUCCCUUUUCUGCUGAAGUUGUUUUACACUGGGUUUCUGUCUCUUGCAACCAAGAGCUCUGUUAAAUAAAAACCUGACCCUAAGGAGAACGUUAGCUGGUUCACAAUUCCCUGUGCAAAACAGGCACAGGUCAGCUGCCCCAGCCUGUCGUUUGGAUAUUCCUUUCUAAGAACGCUCACUUUUGUUGUCUACAUGACCCAGAUAACCAAGGAGAAAGCAAAUCAACCGCCUUCCAGCGGCGCCUUCCUUGGCAGCAAGUGCUAAGAGAGAACACAAUGUGAGUACUCUGCCCUCUGGAGUCAGGGUUGAUCCUCAGCACUUGCUGUCCUGGGAGGCUGCACCUGUGACACUUGAGUGCCAGGUUCAACCCCUACUGCUGCUGCUGCUGCCUGAAUGGGGCCAUUUAGACUGUUGAGUGCUACAGCCUCAGCCCAGGAACCCGGAGCUUCACAUGAGGCAGAGCAGGGCCCCAGGGUCCCUGAAACUUGCCAGUUCAAACAGCAGAGGGGUGAGGACUCCCCAGUCAGCCCUGGUCUCAUACCUGCCUCUGCAUGGUCCCAGUCCAGCCUGAGGCCUUUGCUUUCUUUUUUGAAGGGAAGGUGAGGAGAGAGGGGGAAAAUAGAGGUGUUCUGACUAGACUUAGGAUUCCUGGCCUCUGCCUCUGACCGCCAGAGGACAGCCUCUGCAGUUGCCUCAUCUACUCAUGAAAACAGGCCUGUGACCCCAGGGGUGCUCUGAGGAUUCUUCCAGAAAACAUCUGCCCAGCUAGGACUACCUAGCUCACUGCCCAAAAAGGGUUCAUUUCCUUUCCUUCUGAAACAAAAGCGCUUAAUUGGAAGAGAAGCAUUGACUCAAGCUAUAGGAUAUGCCACUUAAAAUGUCCAGAUCUUGGCACAAGGCCUGGCGCACAGUGUGGGAGAGAAGGAGAGAAGAAGGUGGAAGGAAAGGAGGGAGGGGAAAGAGGAAGCAGGGAGGGAGAAAAUAAGACAAGGGCCUCCUCAUCUGGAUGCUUCCCUAGACCAAGAAGUGGCCCAGGUGGUGCCCAGGGGACAGGGAGUGGGCAAUAAAAGACAAUGGGGUGUAGGUGAUAGGGUGUAGAUGAUCAGGGUAUAGGUGAUCAGGAUGUAGGUGAUGGGGUGUAGAUGACUGGGGUAUAGAUGAUUGAAGUGUAGGUGAUGGGGUAUAGAUGAUCGAGGUGUAGGUGAUGGGGUAUAGAUGAUUGAGGUGUAGGUGAUGGGGUGUAGGUGAUGGGGGUCAAGGUGAUCAAGGUGUAGGUGAUGGGGUGUUGGUGAUUGGGGUGUAGGUGAUGGGAUGUAGGUGAUCAGGGUCAAGGUGAUUGAGGUGUAGGUGAUGGGAUGUUGGCAACCAGGGUGUAGGUGAUCAGGAUGUAGGUGAUGGGGUGUAGACGAUCAGGGUGUAGGUGAUGGGCUGUUGCUGACCAGGGUGUAGGUGAUCAGGGUGUAGGUGAUCCGAACUUCCUACUCAAUUCAGGCAACAGCUCCCAGCCUGAGGCAAAUACCCCCCGAGGCAGUCAGGGUCUCACCUCCCAUGGCUCUGACGCAGGCCUCCAAGGUGAGGAGAUGGAGGUAGCAGAGGUCACUUCACUCAGCUGUCACACACCCUGAGGGAACUCCUGUCACUGUUAUCCCACCUGCAAGUGAGGAGCCAGCAUUUCUCAUGCUCCAGGGUUGGCCACAGAGCCCAUUCAAGGGAGGGAGAAGAGCCUUCGGCCAGCGCAUCCUAACCGCAGAAAGCCAAGACCUCUGCAGAAAAAGAGACCAGGCCCAUAAAAAGAGAUCCAUGAGUUGAGUUCCCUGCCAUGCCACCCCCAGGCAUCUCUGCCCACCAGCCUGCAUGAGCCAGCCCCUCAGUGCAGGUUUUUCCAAUUGGCCGUUUGUUCUUCCACCCAACACUCAAGAUUUGCUUCUCAGCCUGGACAACAUAGCAAAACCCCAUCUCUACAAAAAAUACAAAAAUUAGCUGGGCAUAGUGGCACACACCUAUAGUCCCAGCUACUCGGGAGGCUGAAGUGGGAAGAUUACCUGAGCCUGGGAGGUCAAGGUUGCAGUGAGCCAUGAUCAUGCCACUGUACUCCAGCCUGGGUGACAGAGUGAGAACUUGUCUCAAAAACAAAAAAAGAGAGGAAGAUCUGCUUCUUCAAACCCACACAACUAAUAUAAAGUAAUCAACCUCCCCACCUCAAUAACCUGAAGUUAAACAUCACACAAUAAGCCCUGAACAGAGAGCUGUAGGUCAAUGUUCCAUUUUGCUUUUAAAAGCUUCACAAGAACAUUUCAUUUAUUAAAAUAGUUUCUGUAAACUCUUUCAGAAUAACAAAAUUCACUUGCCUUGCUUAAACAGCAUUUCAAGUAGAAGUAUUUUUAUUUCAAGGCACCAUAAAAUGAUGAUCUCUCUAAGAAAUACCUCUCCUUC
rnacentral:lncRNA from 1 species